CCCGCCGGGAGCGCCCGGUCCCCGCUCCGCCGGCGGGAGCGACGCCGCCCGCACCGCCGGAGGGGACGGAGCUGGCGGAGAGCAGCAAGAUAAAUUGCCAUUUUGACUCAGAGGACCUGAGGUCAGUCAGGAGCCUCCCAUUUCAUAAGCCUUGAGAAGCUCCAGGAAGCUGGCACCAGUGAAGAACUGAGGACCAGCAGAGUCUGUAGGUAAUGUGCUGGAAACCAGGGACUAUCCAUGGUGUGAUCUUACCCCAAAUCUACCCAUGACAGCUGUCUGUUAUACCUGAUAACAUCUCAGCACCCAAAACAGCCCACUGCUAUUACCAGGCCUGGCUGGACGAAGUGGAAGGCAAGCUUGAGGAAUAAGUAUUGCAUUAUUAUAUCGAAUAAAUUGUAGGCUAGCAGUUGUUGUUACAGAUUAAAUAGAAUCUAAAUGACUUAACACCCAUGGAAUCUCUGCCUUUUGUCUUCUUCUCCUCUUAGUCUACUCUUCUCCUUAAUCUCUUUUUUUAUAACCUCUAUUUUAUCAUAAGUAAUAUUGUGUGUAUUCAGCAAUUAGGUUUACUUGCUGAUCACCAUAAACUCAACUGGCACUGGUAUUUGAGGAGGUACCAGAAUCCCUCUAGGGAGAGCCACAGGAGACUCUGCUGCUCUGAAAAGUUAGGCUACCUCAGCAAGAACUAGGUAGUACAGCAUCUGUGGAGGGUCACUAGAAGUUGAUUACCUUGUUUUUUGUACCAUGGACUGCAUUAGGCUGAAAUGACUUGCCUAAGAUCUUAAAACAAGGCAGUGACAGAGCUGGAAAUAAUCCCUGAAGGCAAAUGCUAUUUGUAACAUAUUUUCUGCAAUUAUUGAUUUAUUUGGGUGGUUUCUGGUUGAUUACUGCAAAUUAAAAAAAUAAAAUAAAAUUUCCACAUUACUGAACUUUUGGCAUCCACAUUUGAUUUUAAAUCCAAGGAUGUCUGUGUCUAUGUCACUACUCAUCGACUUUCUUAAAUCCACCUUACAUGUAAUUUUUAAAUUUUCCUAGCUAUAACUCAACUGAUUUCAAUUACAUUCUGAAGAGAUGGGGCAGACUGUGGUCCAAUAAAAAAGCAAGUAACAAGAAGAUGUAAGAAAGCAAUGACUUAAACAUGGUGGGAACCGCUACCAUUAACUUUAAAGAUUAUUUAGUGCAUCUCAUUCUAAUUCCUUUGUAUAUAAUUAUACAGGUUAAAAGUCCCUUAUAUUCCCCAAGACUCUGAAACAAUCUAAUGUCUAAGAUUUUAAUCUGCUUGAAGUCCCUGGCAAAACUAUUUUGGACUGCAGUUCAGAAAUUAUCUUUUGUGCCAUAGCCUGAAACUUAACCCAUCAUCUUCAUCCCCUAGCCUUAGAAACAGUUUAGCCUGAGCAAAUAACAAAUGCCCUACAGAAAUGGGUUUAGACAUUAAAAUCAUCUGUCCUGCCUUCUCCUGUGCAUCCUGCAAUAUUAAUACUGUACAAAACACAACCCUAUUGUCACAGAGGUAAUAAUAUUUAGUGUUAGGCUUGUGAAUACAAAGUGAGAGUUUAUACUGUUUUCUAGCAAAUCAGAGGAACGGUGAGAUGUUUACGCACAAAAGGUAUCUUGCCUGGUUUCUCCAUGCUUGAUACUGCCUAGGCAGUUAUGAAAGAAGAAAUUACUGCUGUGUUUUUACACAAAAAGAGAAAAUUUAAUGCAAUUUGGACCAUUUUGUAGUCUUCAGAAUCUGCCACAUUCUCCCUGCCACCCAAAUUAUUUUAAAUUAUAACUAGUUUUGCAAGGCUGUUAGUAUUAUUUUCUCAGCUCACCCAAAGUUUUUGCAAGACUUAUUAUCUGUGAUGAAUCACAACAUCUUUUAUUCAUAUAGUUAUAAGUGCAUUAAAGCUGUCAGGUAUAAUUUGCCGCUUUCUCUCCUUUUGAUUCAGCAUGCUUUCUGAAAAGAAGCUAAUUUAAUAACUAGGGAAUCUAAGUUUUAUAAUCAAAUUUAUUAUAUUUACCAGACCUGAAUUUCAGAUGGAAUAACAUUAAAAAUGUGCUUGAAAAGAGCAGAAUUGCCAGUGGGCAUUGAAUUAGCAGCCUGAAAAAUAUCUAAUAAUGUUGUGAUCAAGAGUGUUAUGAUGAUGAAAGAAGAAAGAAGAGGAAUUCUCUUUGUCUUUAUUUGUAGUUUUUACAAAUUGUACAAACUGAAAUGAAGGUUGGAACAUCAGCCCAAAGCUUCAGUUCAGGGGAAAGAGUGUUCUCUUUUUAGAUGUUUUGGUGAUUUUCAGUGUGCCCAUAUAACGUAGCACUGCAACUCUGCCUACAGAUCUCUAAAUUACUGCUAGAGGAGUAGAUUCUGCUGUCUAUGUGCAUAUAUGAGCACUUGCCACUGUACACUGCGUACCAGACGUAGUCCCAUGAGUUCUGCAUCCACCAGAUUUCUGCUGAAUUCUGGAUAAGGUUUGUGCUUGGAAGGCUUCUGAAUCAAGGUUUCAUGCCAGAAGGUGCUCUAUAAAAGGCCAGUUUAAAAGGAACUGAACAAAAACCCAACAAAAGUAAGUCUUUUCCUGUUGCUCAUGUUAGUGUCCUCUGAGUCUUGGUCCCCUAAUCCUCUUAGCCAAGUUUGUGGCACAGAUUGUAUUUUAUUUACAGAUAUAGGUUAACACAGCCUGUUAUUUUGUGAUCACAUUAGUUUCAUUUGUACUGUGGAGGUUUUUAAUUCCCAAAGGUGCUGCCAGUUUUUGUGUACCCAAUUUAAGUUUAAGCAGAGUUUUUGUUUUUCCUAAGGACUUUGCUGCAGAGUUUCAGGUAUUUAAAAUAUGAAGUUGUGGUUCUCUUUUGAUUCAUCGUCUGUUAAAGAAUGUUGGCUGUACUAAAACUGGCAAUGAGGCUAAACAAGAAUAAAAAAGAAGUAUUCCAGAGAACCAAAAUAUUGUAAAGUAUUUGUCUUCUGAAGGUAUGUUGCCACUUAGCACACACUGAGAAUAAUGACCACACAAAUACAAAUAAAGAAAAUUCAAAAAAUCUCUGAAAUUUUGCUUAAUAUUGAAAUGAUUAAUUGAAGGAAGAGCUUGUGUUUUGAACAGUUCUACUGAGCUUUUUCAUGAAGGAGAUUGUAUGGAUGUGAUACAUCAUUGACAGGACACAGUAAGUCAACUGUUCAUCUGGCUCUGCUGUAGCUCUAACCCUGCACAGCUGAGAAUGUUCACAUCAGGCGGGGGAGGAUGAUAUAUUAAGUCCAUGCAGUUCAGAAGAUAUGUGUGCUGCAAUGCAGAGCCCUUGGUGCUGAAGGUAGUUUUGACAAAGAAUUUGUGGCACAGGGGCCAUAGGUGGUACAAAGAUACAGGGUCUACCUCUAGAAUUCCAUAUUCUUUUAGUCUCUGUUUUACACAUAUAGUUCUUUGAGAAAUCUCAUAGUUUGAGGAUGACAAAUUUAAUAAAACAGUUGAAGAGGAUCAGAUUGUUAUACAAGAAGACCUAAAUGAACUUUUAGCGGAAGGGUAGGAACAAGACAAAAUGUCGUAAUACCCAGUGCAAGGUCACUGGGUAUUAAGUGCAAAAUGCUAGAAUUCUGCACCAAAUGCUCAAUGAUUCAGAGCUUGAGGACUCCAUACAUCAAUGAGUACUUCUUGCUUCUGUCAUCAAACAGCCACACCAAAGCAUGAAAGGCAAGGCUGCAGUGGAAUUUGAAGCUGAGAUGGCUCCAUACUGAGAGCAGAACUGGAGAUGAGAUCAAAGAUGAUUGAAUUGAGUUGAUUGCCCCUUCCUGAAAAGAUAAAGAAGCAGGAAGGUGUAAGAACCUUUCAAUAAUUAUAAGCAAUUAGAGGGAAAAACCCAAACCCCAGAAGACAAGACAUAAAAACAGCUCGCAUGACGUUGCAAUCUCAUAGCUUAUGUUGUCAGCAAAACCAGGUUGGAUGAAUUUCUGCAGACUCAACAGUAAUUGCCAUGCAGCAGCAGUUAGUACUGUUGAAAUGCUGGAGCUGAAGGGAACCAGCUAGGCUGUAGUGACUGGGAACAGAUGUCCUCUGAAGAGCAUGAGACAGCAUUUUGCAAUGUGAGAGAAAUCUUUGCCUGUCAGUCUAAACUGGUGACUUGUUUGGUGGACUGGGACAAGUAUCUCUCAUGAGAUAGGAAUUUUACCUUUUUCCUUCUUUUGUGUCACUAGAUACCCUGUCUGGUUCUCAGUGAAGAUGUAACGGUCUAUUUUUGUAAAUGCAGCCUAAUGGACAUUAAUUUUUAGCAGUUACAUGUAUUCUAAAUAUCAGCAUUAGGACUGGCAGGGGUGCCUGCAUUUGUGAAUAUAUUCAAGAAGGAGUUUAAUGUUAGGAACAGUUCUUCUCCAGCUUAUUGUGAAUUAAUGUUUUGUAAUGAUCUGGAUGCAACUGACCUUGAUUUGAGCAGGUUAUAUUCCCUGUUGGAUUAAGAGGGGUUAAGCUCAUGCAGUUCUAUACAAUUGAGCAGUUUUAACUGGAGCCAAUUCACACAAUUGCCUCAGGAGGUUUGAGGUUGCUGCCUAAUAUUUUUGGCCAGUGGACAGAAGUAGGAUUUGCAUUUUCAGCCUGACAAGGGUGGCUGAAGUCUUGAGGGUCAAAGCAGCCACAGUCAGCCCUGAGUCCCCUAACACACAAUAGCUGUGAGCUGUACGCCCAUGCUGCCCACGUAAAGUGAAGGGGAGUAGUCAGACUGCUCUGUAUUUGAUAGGAAAAGGAGUGAAGACUCUGAUCUCUGUGCUUAAAUGCUGUUCCAAAGAUGCAAAAAAUGUGUCAUUUUACCUUCUACUCAGUAAUAGCUUAUCUAAGCUUAUCUUAGAUACUCUUGAAAGGAAUUAUUAGAAAGGCCAGUUACAGGCAGAAUUUAGUAUUGAACUUUGAAAUGUUCUUCGGCUCAUGGUGUAUAUUGAUUGCAUGCUGUCUUGUUGCCUGCACCAGCUUUUCUUUUCAGUUUGCUUAAGAAGAAUCAUGUGAAUAAAAAGGUACCAUGGAUAAAAACGUACCAUGCUUAUUAGCCUUCUUGGCAGCUCAUGUCUGUUCUCCAUAACCUGGCAGGAUUACCCCUGUGACUACCCAAAUACUCUAAAGCAAAGAUCAUAGCUGAAUAUCCUAUGAAAUAGGAAACCUUCAGUGAUUUCUGUGUAUCCUAUGAAAUAGGAAACCUGGAGUGAUUUAGGCUGGGUUGACAUAAUUUUCAGAAAGGCUAAGGAGGUAUGAAGUGAUGUAAAGUGAUUAUUUUAAAUUUUCAUGAGAAAAAAAUACCACAGAUUAAUGGAAACAUAAUCUCACUACAAAAAGAUGAGGCCGGGAAAUUAAAGCAGCCAGGAACUUAAAAUCAGGCACUGAAAUCUUUAUCCUUACUUAGGUCAUAAGUAAAUAAAUAGUUAAAGACAUUGAAGACUCAUAUCAGCCCCAUGCAGUGCUGUAGAUUUGGGGAAGAGUGGCUGGAAAGCUGCCCAGCGGAAAAGGACGUGGGCAUUCUGGUUGACAGCAGCUGAACAUGAGCCAGCAGUGUGCCCAGGUGGCCAAGAAGGCCAAUGGCAUCCUGACCUGUAUCAGCAACAAUGUGGCCAUCAGGACCAGGGCAGUGGUCAUCCCCCUGUACUUGGCACUGGUGAGGCCACACCUCAAGUGCUGUGUUCAGUUUUGGCCUCCUCACUACAAGAAGGACAUUGAGGUACUGGAGCAUGUCCGGAGAAGGGCAACAGAGCUGGGGUAGGGUCUAGAGCACAAGUCCUGUGAGGAGCAGCUGUGGGAGCUGGAGGUGUUUAGCCUCGGGAAAAGGAGGUUCAGAGAGUACCUUACCACUUUCUGCAAGUACCUGAAAGGAGCCAGGUAGGUGUUGGUUUCUUCUCUCAGUGUAACGAGAGACAGGAUGAGAAGAAAUGGCCUGAAGUUGUGCCAGGGGAGGUUUAGAUUGGGUAUUAGGAAAAAUUUCUUCAUGUAAGAAGUUGUCAAGCAUUGAAACAGGCUGCCCAGGGAAGUGGUGGAGUCACAAUCCCUGGAGGUAUUUAAAAGUCACAUAGGUGUGGCACUUGGGUUUAGUGGUGGUGGUCGUGGCAGUGUAGAGUUAAAGGUUGGACUCAGUGAUGUUAGGUAUCUUUUCCAACCUAAACAAUUCUAGGACUCUAUGAAGAGAUCUUAAUGGACCUAAUUUUCUCCAUGUACUUUUUGCAGUUCACUUACUGAGCACUCAUGUGAGGCAUCUUCAGAGGUUUUGAAUGUAAUUGUGCAAAAAGAGACACCAAGGACAGUUCUGAGAAUCUUAGCCUUUCAGUCUUAAUUUUAGGCUCCAUUUUUUUUAAUAUUUGCCCUUAUGGAAUGCAUAAUUUAAAAUUAUUUCAGUAAUGGAAGUUAUUUGAUUCUCAGUUCUUGAAGAGAGACUCCACAUAUAAAACAUCCUUAUAAAUGACUGACUCUUUUCAAAGCAUAUUACUGACAUGGUUAUUUUUCGAUUGUGGCAUUUGUGUGUCCUCCAAAUUUAUUUUUAGUUUUCAGAAAUGCUAAGAAAUAAGUUUCAUUCUUACUGUUAAUAGAAAACUCUAGUGCCUUAACUUUUGAGAAGCUUUGAAAUAAAAUUUCAAAGUGAAUUUGAAGUGUUUCAUAGACUUUGCAUUAUAUAGACUUUGCUUAAACCCAAGGGAAAUUGUAUAUAUAAUAAUAAUAAACAAGGUUUGCUCUUGUUGCCUGAAUACUGUAAAAAGGUGUUUAAAAUGACUAGACAAAAAAUUAUGAAAGCAGCAUAUGACUUAAGUUAUAAAUAAAAUAUGGCAACUACUGGACAUGGGAAAAAUUUCGUGACAGUCAAAUCUACAGAGAGGACUAUUCAAGAACAUUUACUAAGCCCUCUGUCCUCACACUUUUACAGUUGUGAGUAAAGUAUUUUGAGCAGCUAGACUGCAAACAGUCUUUUCAGAAAUUCACUGUGUGACCAUGCAAAUGUUUAAGCAAUUCUUAGAUUUUUUUACUCAUCUCCCUGUGCUUGGUGUACCUGGGUUUUGCUUUAAUCUGUCCUUGUAUAGUGCCUUCUACAGUUUUCUAAUUAUGUAAGCUGUGACCAAGAAUGGCCCACAAAUUCUGAGUGUUUGUAAUGAUGAACUGUAAGAGGAUUUUUUUACCUGAGAGAAUAAAAGAUUUAAAUGUGUUUGUCUUGUGUUCAUAUAAAUUGUCAGAGCUCUAGCAAUGGAGGGGUGCUGUGACAGCUUACCUAAUCAGGGAGUUUGCUCCAUUUUUUUUUUUUGAGGAAUGGAGUUUGCAGUGUCAUCACCAUUACCCCACUGGAAGACACAACCAGAGAACAUCUCUAUAGAGGAGGGAGUGAGCUUGCCAGCUCUGUAUAUCAGAACCUCUCCUUAGCAGCCCCCAGCAGAGCAGCAGAACCAGGUUCCCAGAUACAGAGCUGGAACGCUCAGAUGAUUACAAGAAUACAAGGUAUGAAUUCCAGAAAGUUCAAGCAAAUUCCUUCUGCUUGUUCAUAUCAAGAUUUAUACAAAUAGCAUAACACAAGGCUUGGCAAGAUAAUUUUCCUUCAGUUUUGCCAUGUGUUUCUUCACAAGCCUGUCCCCCAUUAAAAAAAGCAGGAUACCUAAUA